AUUAAAAAUUUUGCAAAGGAGGAGAGGGCAAUAUCUUUUGCGGUUUUGCCCGUUUCAUUGCAUUUCAAAUCUUCUCUCUCUUCUCUACGCGUUUCUUCUGUGAACGUUUACGUUCUUGAUCACCUAAUUGGUUUCUCUUCUUCUGCCUUUGGACCCUCUAUAAGACCUAUCUUUUGCCUCUGUCUCCUCCAUUUCUCUAAACCCAGAUUUUAUUUUCCCUCUUUAUUUCAGAGAUUAGGUUUCUUUUUUUCGUUUUGAUAUUUGUUUGCAAUAUGAAGAGGGGCAAAUCGGAAACCAGAUUGGAUAAAUUUGACAUGUUUGUGUCUUUAAGCAGGCAAAGAUCGAUUCAAAUCCUGAUUGGUGUUGGUUUUUUGUAUAUAUGCCUCGUAACUCUAGAAAUCCCUUUUGUGUUCAAUACUGGUUUCAGUGCUGUCUCUCAAGAAACCCUCACUCGCCCUUCUAUGCUUCAAAGCGAAGAGGAUUUGCAGGAUAGAGAUGCUCCAACUCGUCCCCUUGACUGGGUCUCUCAUAACUCGGCCCAACCAACUCAGUCCCAAAGUACCUACAGACCCGUUAAAAUGUUGUCAGGUUUGAAUUUUGAUCCGGAAACAUUUGAUCCUACUAAAAAAGAUGGAUCCGUGGAGCUUCAUAGGACUGCUAAGACUGCUUG
rnacentral:misc_RNA from 1 species